rnacentral:rRNA from 1 species
AUGCGUGAUCAGGUCGGCAUCGACCUGGAUGGCUUCCCCCUCGACCACGAGUUCCCGGACGACUAUGGGCUAGAGGAAGAGGACGAGUGCGACAUCAAAGUAGAGCCUUUGUUCGAGGACUGUCUUGCCAACCAAGCCACUGGUCCUAAGCCGAAGCGCAAGAGCAAGCGCACGAAGGCGUACACAGUUGCCGAGGACAAGCUUUUUGCGAGUGUUGGCGAGACAUUGGACAAGACCUAA